rnacentral:rRNA from 1 species
GCCAGACUCCUACGGGAGGCAGCAGUGGGGGAUAUUGCACAAUGGGGGGAACCCUGAUGCAGCGACGCCGCGUGAGUGAAGAAGUAUUUCGGUAUGUAAAGCUCUAUCAGCAGGGAAGAAAGAGACGAAAGUCUCGUGACAGUACCUGACUAAGAAGCCCCGGCUAACUACGUGCCAGCAGCCGCGGUAAUACGUAGGGGGCAAGCGUUAUCCGGAUUUACUGGGUGUAAAGGGAGCGUAGGCGGUUAGAUAAGUCUGAUGUGAAAGCCCACAGCUUAACUGUGGGAUUGCAUUGGAAACUAUAGAACUAGAGUGUCGGAGAGGUAAGUGGAAUUCCUAGUGUAGCGGUGAAAUGCGUAGAUAUUAGGAGGAACACCAGUGGCGAAGGCGACUAUCUGGCACAUAACUGACGCUGAGGAGCGAAAGCGUGGGUAGCAAACAGGAUUAGAUACCCGCGUA